UGAGGAACAUGACCUUCGGCGGGGGAUAGCCGGCCCAACGGCCGGGUAAUACCGCGUACGACCACAUGGGGACAUCCCUGAGUGGUGAAAGCAGCAAUGCGCCGAUGGAGUGCCUCGCGGCCUAUCAGCUAGUUGGUGAGGUAACGGCUCACCAAGGCAACGAUGCGUAGCCGACCUGAGAGGAUGAUCAGCCACACUGGAACUGAGACACGGUCCAGACCUCCG
rnacentral:rRNA from 1 species